rnacentral:rRNA from 1 species
CACGUAGGGCGCAAGCGUUGUCCGGAAUUAUUGGGCGUAAAGAGCUCGUAGGCGGUCUGUUACGUCUGCUGUGAAAACCCGGGGCUUAACCCUGGGCUUGCAGUGGAUACGGGCAGACUAGAGGCAGGUAGGGGAGAAUGGAAUUCCCGGUGUAGCGGUGAAAUGCGCAGAUAUCGGGAGGAACACCGGUGGCGAAGGCGGUUCUCUGGGCCUGACCUGACGCUGAGGAGCGAAGGUCAGGGGAGCAAACGGG